CUGCCCUGGGGGGAUUCUGAUGGGGAAACAUGCAUUCUUCCUUCACUUUUCAUUGGUACGAAUCUCACAAACUAAAGCUGACCCAGGAAGCUGACUCAGGGAGGAGAGCAAGAGGAAGGCUUUUCAGUAACUUUGCUUCCUACUAAUCUUGAGAGUUUGGAGGUUAUUGCGGAAGAGUGUAGCGACUCUUAGUCAACUGAGUCUGCACGUUUAAGCAGUGAGGGAGGAAGGAGGUCACCCACCUUGUCUACCAGAUCAGCCAACCAGCCCUGGUGAUCAAUGAAAGGACAGACGUCAUAGCCAGAUGACCCUCACACCCCACCUACAACACUGGAAGGUGACACAAAGAAAGGGAGAAGAGACACCUGAGGGUCAGGUGAUGGAGCACCAGGUUAAGGCACAUGGUACUAAGCGUAAAGACUCAUGCAAGGUGCAACGAUUGCCACCUCAACAUGCUUCACCUCAGACUGUGUCCAGAGACUUCACAUGUGGAAUGACAACCCUUCAGCUGCAUUACUCGGGUGAGACCUUUCCUUUCAUAGUACACUCUAAUUUCAUCUCAGGUGGUUCACUUUCUAACAAAGUCCCAAAACCUAGAUAUACACCAGUUUCUGUGAGAGAGAGCAUAUCUUCACACGUAUCUAUAAACUAUU